rnacentral:rRNA from 1 species
GAUGAACGCUAGCGGUAGGCUUAACACAUGCAAGUCGAGGGGUAACGUGUUGGUAGCUUGCUUCCGAUGACGACGACGGGCGGAUGGGUGCGUAACGCGUAUGCAACUUGCCUCACAGAGGAGAAUAACCCGGAGAAAUCCGGACUAAUACUCCAUACACGCUUAAGUACGCCUGUACAUGAGAGGAAAGAUUUAUCGCUGUGAGAUAGGCAUGCGUCCUAUUAGGUAGUUGGUGAGGUAACGGCUCACCAAGCCGACGGUAGGUAGGGGUGCUGAGAGGCAGGUCCCCCACGUAGGGACUCAGGCACGGCCCAAAUACCGACGGGAGGCAGCAGUGAGGAAUAUUGGUCAAUGGAGGAAACUCUGAACCAGCCAGGUCGCGUGAAGGAAGAAUGUCCUUAGGAUUGUAAACUUCUUUAGCGAGCGAGUAAGUACUUCAACGUGAUGGGAGUUUGAAAGUAGCUCGAGAAUAAGUAUCGGCUAACUCCGUG